AGGUGAUAACUCGAAACCCAACUGAGGCGGAGCACGAUCGUCUUCCUUUGUGGAAGCAAAAGAGCGGGGCAUCCUCAGAAUGGCAGAUGGGUCGCAUCGCUGUGCCCCACAGGAAUAGGGUGAUCUUCCGGGCAACUGUUGGUCCUGCCUCAACGCCAGCGUUCGUUGCACUCGAUGAUAUCGCCAUCGUGCACCGCGAUCGGUGCGAGACCUUUCCAAAAGGCAGCGAGGCCCUUUCCGCAACGGAGCUGCUCACCUGCGAUUUAUACGACUGGAACUUCUGCAAAUGGUCGUCAACGGGCUCUUCGACACCUAAG